rnacentral:rRNA from 1 species
GAUGAACGCUGGCGGCGUGCCUAAUACAUGCAAGUCGAGCGAACGGACGAGAAGCUUGCUUCUCUGCGGUUAGCGGCGGACGGGUGAGUAACACGUGGAUAAGCUACCUAUAAGACUGGGAUAACUUCGGGAAACCGGAGCUAAUACCGGAUAAUAUUUUGAACCGCAUGGUUCAAAAGUGAAAGACGGUCUUGCCGUCACUUAUAGAUGGAUCCGCGCUGCAUUAGCUAGUUGGUAAGGUAACGGCUUACCAAGGCAACGAUGCAUAGCCGACCUGAGAGGGUGAUCGGCCACACUGGAACUGAGACACGGUCCAGACUCCUACGGGAGGCAGCAGUAGGGAAUCUUCCGCAAUGGGCGAAAGCCUGACGCAGCAACGCCGCGUGAGUGAUGAAGGUCUUCGGAUCGUAAAACUCUGUUAUUAGGGAAGAACAUAUGUGUAAGUAACUGUGCACAUCUUGACGGUACCUAAUCAGAAAGCCCCGGCUAACUACGUG